rnacentral:lncRNA from 1 species
UUUUAAAGUCUUCAAAAUAUUCAGAUAGAUUUCUGUAUAUAGAUAGAAAUCUGAAUAUACCAUUUUGAAGAUGUUUCUUUAUAUAGUUAAUGCCACAUCAUAUUUUAUAUGGCUAAUCAGCCUUUGAUAUAUCAUAAUGGUUUCCUUGGAGCAUGACACAUCUAUUAAAAUAGAUAUGGUAGCAUGCAUACUAUUUAAGAAAAUGCAUAUUAUGUGCUAGGCAGAAACAUGGGCUCCAU